rnacentral:rRNA from 1 species
UACGGGGGGUGCGAGCGUUGUCCGGAAUUACUGGGCGUAAAGCGCGUGUAGGCUGUUCUGCAAGUCGGGUGUGAAAGCCCCGGGCUCAACCUGGGAAGUGCACUCGAAACUGCAGAACUCGAGUCCUGGAGAGGAAGGCGGAAUUCUCGGUGUAGAGGUGAAAUUCGUAGAUAUCGAGAGGAACACCGGUGGCGAAGGCGGCCUUCUGGACAGUGACUGACGCUGAGACGCGAAAGCGUGGGGAGCAAACAGG